CGCAUGUACACGCUUAUGACGAUUUGGCGCUGCUGGCACGUAAGGAAUGAGAUCGUCCACGACAAACGGCCACCACCAGUGGAGGCCUCGACAAGGUUUCUGUCUAGCUAUAUUAGCUCCUUGCUGGCCCUUCAGGCAGACCCUCUUGGCGUUCAUGUGAAAGGGAAGAUGGUGCCUGGCCACCAGGUCAGGAGGAAACCAAUAUCGUAUGCGUACCAGGCAAAGGAGCAUGCUCCAAGAUGGGAGGCACCGCCAGCUGCAUGGGCAGCGCUUUACGUUGACGGCUCCUUCUGUGGCAAGGACGGGAGUGCUGGGGCGGGUAUGGUUCUUCGAGACGAACAUGGAGCUAUAAUCUUCUCUUCUAGCCGAGAGUUACGACAAUGUGCGUCCCCGCUGGAAUCUAAACUUGCAGUAUGUAUG
rnacentral:rRNA from 1 species